rnacentral:sRNA from 1 species
GCCGGAUGUGGUGGUGCAUGCCUGUAAUCCCAACAGCUGGGAGGCUGAGGCAGGAGGAUCGCAAGUUCAAAGCCUGUCUCAGCGAGGUCCUAAGCAACUCAGUGAGACCCUGUCUCAA